rnacentral:rRNA from 1 species
CGAACGCUGGCGGCGUGCUUAACACAUGCAAGUCGAACGGAAAGGCUUUCUUGCUUGCAGAGUACUCGAGUGGCGAACGGGUGAGUAACACGUGGGUGAUCUGCCCUGUACUUCGGGAUAAGCCUGGGAAACUGGGUCUAAUACCGGAUAGGACCACAUUUUAGUGUGUGUGGUGGAAAGUUUUUNCGGUUAGGGAUGAGCCCGCGGCCUAUCAGCUUGUUGGUGGGGUAAUGGCCUACCAAGGCNUCGACGGGUAGCCGGCCUGAGAGGGUGGACGGCCACAUUGGGACUGAGAUACGGCCCAGACUCCUACGGGAGGCAGCAGUGGGGAAUAUUGCACAAUGGGCGCAAGCCUGAUGCAGCGACGCCGCGUGAGGGAUGAAGGCCUUCGGGUUGUAAACCUCUUUCGCUAGGGACGAAGCUUUUUUGUGACGGUACCUAGAUAAGAAGCACCGGCUAACUACGUGCCAGCAGCCGCGGUAAUACGUAGGGUGCGAGCGUUGUCCGGAUUUACUGGGCGUAAAGAGCUCGUAGGUGGUUUGUCGCGUCGUCUGUGAAAUUCCGGGGCUUAACUUCGGGCGUGCAGGCGAUACGGGCAUAACUUGAGUACUGUAGGGGAGACUGGAAUUCCUGGUGUAGCGGUGGAAUGCGCAGAUAUCAGGAGGAACACCGAUGGCGAAGGCAGGUCUCUGGGCAGUAACUGACGCUGAGGAGCGAAAGCAUGGGGAGCGAACAGGAUUAGAUACCCUGGUAGUCCAUGCCGUAAACGGUGGGCGCUAGGUGUGAGCUCUUCCACGGGGUUCGUGCCGUAGCUAACGCAUUAAGCCCCCCGCCUGGGGAGUACGGCCGCAAGGCUAAAACUCAAAGGAAUUGACGGGGGCCCGCACAAGCGGCGGAGCAUGUGGAUUAAUUCGAUGCAACGCGAAGAACCUUACCUGGGCUUGACAUGUACAGGAUCGGGCUAGAGAUAGUUUUUCCUUUUUAGGUCUGUAUACAGGUGGUGCAUGGUUGUCGUCAGCUCGUGUCGUGAGAUGUUGGGUUAAGUCCCGCAACGAGCGCAACCCUUGUCUUAUGUUGCCAGCACAUUUUGGUGGGGACUCAUGAGAGACUGCCGGGGUUAACUCGGAGGAAGGUGGGGAUGACGUCAAAUCAUCAUGCCCCUUAUGUCCAGGGCUUCACACAUGCUACAAUGGUCGGUACAAGCGCUGCGAGCCUGUGAGGGUAACGGAAUCGCUGAAAGCCGGCCUCAGUUCGGAUUGGGGUCUGCAACUCGAGCCCAUGAAGUCGGAGUCGCUAGUAAUCGCAGAAUGCAACGCUGCGGUGAAUACGUUCCCGGGC